rnacentral:rRNA from 1 species
UACGGAGGGUGCAAGCGUUGUCCGGAUUUAUUGGGUUUAAAGGGUGCGUAGGCGGCCUUUUAAGUCAGUGGUGAAAGCCCAUAGCUCAACUAUGGAACUGCCAUUGAUACUGAAAGGCUUGAGUAGAGACGAGGUUGGCGGAAUGGAUGGUGUAGCGGUGAAAUGCAUAGAUACCAUCCAGAACUCCGAUUGCGUAGGCAGCUAACUAGGCUGUAACUGACGCUGAGGCACGAAAGCGUGGGGAGCAAACAGG